GAUCGAAAUGAUCUUAGCAAGAAAAAUUCACUCACUGUUGUAAAACCUGAGUCUCUUCCAAACGCACAAAGCAAUGCACAAGGAGGAGGAGAAGGAGACCCAGAUGUCCAAGAUGCUCAAGUUCAAGACUUGAGGGUCCCGGAGCAUUUGUUGGUACCUCCUCAAGGGCCAUGGAGGGUACCAACAUUUAUGCCGAACCCUCUCAGCCCUCAAAUAUGGUCGGUCUACUCCUUUACUAUCAGUUGAAUAUUCAGAUUUUUUGGUUGAAACGGACUCCCUCCUUUCUGUCAAUUGGUUUAGAAACUCUUCUCAAUCUACUUGGGUGUACUUUGAGCUAUGGAAUGAUGUUCUGGACAUUGCUUCUUAUCUACCUUUUGACAUUAGUCACACUUACAGAGAGGAAAUCUCACUAGCUGACGGCUCAGCAAACCUUGAUAACUCCUUCCCCUCAGUUUUGCACUUAGACUUUUCAUUGCUUUUACAGAGUCAAUAAAUAGAAUAGCAAUGAAAAAAGGACUCAAACUGACCAGCUCUGAUUUGGAG